CCAGGCUCUUUCCUCUACGCUCUUACGUAGAGGAAAGAGCCUGGGU
rnacentral:miRNA from 1 species